GGGAAGCGGUUGGGUGGUGGGGCUGGGGAAUCCUUUGCCAUCGGCUCCCUUCCUUGUUUAUUACGCGAUGCGUGCUGGUUCGAGCUGUUCCUCAGAACCCCUUUAACCCCCUUCGCCCUAUAUUGACCGUUUUAUUUUCUCUGUUAGGAAAUCCGGGGCGGGGGCGGGAAUGUUGCUUCGCAUUUGAAGCUUUGAGUUUUGCAACCGCCGAGGGCUAACUUGUUGCAGAGGGGAAGCUUUCUCGUUGUUUUUCCUUCUUAUGCGGGGUCCCCCCCGCCUUUCCUAUGGGGCCAGUUCACUUGCAUGCUCUUAAAAGCCCGAUUUUAUUUAAUCGCCCCUCCCCCCGCGUAUCUCAACUUGCAGCCAUACCGAUCGGAUCCUAACUGGUGCACAUGAUGACUUAAAACUUUUUUCCCCAUCAGAGCGUCAGUGUUGAUCUCUUUGCUGUUACAGCCAGAAUCUGUCUGAUGCACCAGUGUUUUAACAGCGAGAGGGGAGGGCGGUUGAGAGUCUCUUGAGCCCAAUUCAUGCAGUUUGCAAGAGCAAAUCUCUAUCGGUUAAUCUGACUGGUGGGUGUCUUUCCGUUUAGGGCGACGAUGCCGCUAGGCAUGCACAGAGCGAACUGCUGCAAAAAUCGAGCUGGGCGCAAGGAGGCGAUGGAGUCACCCGAAACCUGCACGCGAUCUGAAUACACGUGAUCUGAGUGAGCCUGAAGUUUAAUCAUUGAGCCCAUGCAGAAGAGAUGGGUGACUUGAAAUAAAACCUUGAAAGGAGGACAUCUUGCUCUGAUCCUACACAAGAAGCAUGGAAGACUGCAGCACCGUAUGUCAGACUGAAUGCUUGGACGGCAAGGGAAAUUGUGAAGUCUUCCAAGUGCUGUAAGUUUUGCAAGACCAAAUGGCCAUUUAGAAGAUUGUGGCAGGGCGCUUAAAUGGUGUGCUAUUCAGUGGUACAUGAUGACUUAAUCUUUUUUCCCCAUCUUAUCGGCAAUGCUGAUAAAACAUGCGUUCUAGCCAGAUGGUCUGAUUCCACUGAUGUCCAAAUCUUACAUUGCAUGCUUUAGUAUUGCACUUCGAAGACAGAAGCCUAAUGUAAAUAUUCUGCUAUAAAUGCACACUGCUUGCUGGAUUUUCAUGAUGGUGGGAGCAUGAGGGUUGUGGAUAAUGAGAAGGUGCAGGCAACUUCCCCAAGACUGCUGACCUCUUGAUUCUUUGGUUUAUUACGUAACUGGUGCAGGAGGGUAGAUUUGAGAUCUACCUACCUAGUGUAACGUACAUACCUAUUGAAUGGUUAUUGCCCUUGUGUGAAUAGAUGGAUAAAUGCUUUACUUUCCUUUGAAUAGAUGGCUAGUCUUAUAAAACAAUUCAAAUUUCUGCAACAACAGCUUUGUGCUGUAAGAGCUAAUGUAAGAGCAGCCUUUAUUUGUCGAGCCCUUUGACUACUGUUUUGGCUUCAGGGCAGAUUUAAGAACCCCUGAGGAGAUAUGAUUUGUUGUUGUUUAGUCGUGUCUGACUCUUUGUGACCCCAUGGACCAGAGCACGCCAGGCACUCCUGUCUUCCACUGCCUCCUGCAGUUUGGUCAAACUCAUGUUAGUAGCU